UUAAAGGAAAAUUCCGGCGCAAAAUGAGCCUAGGGGUUAAUAACAUAUAAUCUACUAAAACUCAAGA